AUAUAUCACAUUAACAAACUGAAGAAUAAAUAUCAUAUAACCUAGGGACCCAGUAUGCAAUGGCUGCAAACAGCAGCCUCCUCAGUAAUGUAUGCAGCCUGUUGCUUGCAUGGGUGGCCCUAAGGGACCUUGGAGAUAGCC
ensembl:snoRNA SNORA70 Small nucleolar RNA SNORA70